CAUGGAGAGAAGGGUGGAUGCUGCGCCUUUAGCUUGCUGAAUCCAGAGCCGGUGUCCUUGAGUGCGAGAGGUGAUGUGACCACUCGUGCUCUGAGGUGGCUCCAGCAGCUGCAGGAAUUCACCUUUCUCUGCUACCUUCUCACAAUCCUGACUCUGCUUCUCUAUCCUAACAACAGGAGCCCAAAGAGAGGACUUCGGGCCUAAUCUGAAGCCCUUCUAAUCCAGCCAAGUCCUCGUGUUAGUCCACAGGCCACCCAGGAGAUGCUCAGCCUGGUGGAUGCCACCUGGCCACCCUUCGCUUGCUCCCAGCUGCAUCACCCUGGGAAGUGACCAGAGUCGCCGUCCAGCUUUGCCAGGCACCGUCUCACUGGGAAGAUGCCACUGGAACCAGCUUCAAAGGAGCUUCAUCCCCUUCAACGCCAUCUUCAUGGGAUCCCGGCUAUGCCUGUGCACCUCGGCAAGCUCUCCUUUGCUGUGCGCUCCCUGGGAAGAGCCUGUGUUGUUCUGCACUGACCUGAAACGAUUUGUCUGUGAAAGGCAUUUUUGUUCCUACAGCAGGAGGAAAUUUCCAAAGGAGCAGUCACUUUGAAUCAAAAUCUUUCCCUUAGAAACUGGUCCAUGUGGUUUGGGGAGAUUUUUCCAUUUCUUUUUGAACUUUUCCGGGACGUGACUUGGAUGAAGUGGGAUGAUUUUGCAGAGCGCUUUGCUGAACUGCUGUUGUUUUGUUCUGCUUUUCUGCAUGCAUUGAGCCCCGAGCCCUGCAUUCCUGCUGCUGGGCAAGGGAGUGGUCCCACAGGCAGGGUUUUGGCUUUGGGGGCAAAGAAGCAGAUUUGAGGAAAAAUCAUGUGUGUCCAUGAUUUACAUGCAAAGAGCAAGAAUUGCCUAUUUCCGGGCAAAUACCUUCUCAAAGGAAUGGAGAACUGGACAAUUCAUGACCUCUUCUUGUCCAAAUACAGGCAGGAUUUGAACUCUGGAGUCAAUACAAGGAAUGUGCAGACCUGGAGCCCCUGAACAGCUCUGAUAGGGAAAGGAUGCCCAGUGGUCAUGACCAUCAUGGAAAGAUAUUUCGGUUCUCAGCUCUCUCCCCGAUGCCCUCAUGAUUUCAUCCAGACUUUAGCUCUCCAUCACCCACCAAGAGGAGGGUGGUCCAUGCUGCAGGAGCAGUGAAGAGAGGAUGAGGCCAGCCAAGAUGUGCCUUGAUCCCCCAGGCUCCCCUAAACCACGUCUAGCCUCUUUCUCAUCAAGCUGAAGGUUCUCAAAGACAAGAGGAGAACAACCACCAGAACAAGAAGACAGAACUGGAGAUUUCCAUCUCCAAGGUUGCCCAGAUGGGUCUCUUGUUGCAGGCAGCUUCAAGCAUCAUUUCUUAGCUCACAUCAAUAAGGAGCCUCAAGAUGUUGUUUCAGAGCAGUUCUCAUCUAAUCACAGGACUCAAGGCACAGGUGCUGAACUGGUGAAUGGGAGCAGGUCUCUCGCCCUCGCAGUCUGCAAAGGGGCUGCUGCCACUGGGCAAUGCUCCCUUGAACCUCCAGCUGCUGCAGGCAGGUGA